rnacentral:rRNA from 1 species
CACGUAGGCGGAUAUUUAAGUCAGGGGUGAAAUCCCAGAGCUCAACUCUGGAACUGCCUUUGAUACUGGGUAUCUUGAGUAUGGGAGAGGUAGAGGGAAUUCCUCAUGGAGCGGUGAAAUGCGUAGAGAUGAGGAGGAACACCAGAGGCGAAGGCGCUCUACUGGACCACAACUGACACUGAGAGACGAAAGCCAGGGGAUGAAAA